UUAGGAUAGUGUAAGAAUUUAAUUUCCAGCAGCCUCUCGAGGAACCCUGAAACCUAUCGAGUAUUGGGACGAAUCCAGACUAAUGCGACUAAUGCACGGAGAGGCCCACCACUGUCCACUGUGAUGAAGCAGAUAGGGAGAGAAGGGCAAUCUGUUUCAGUGUAAACACAGCACGAGAAAAGCACUGGAAUGUCUCUGCAGUGGGAGCUGGAGUAGGAGGUCAGCCGGAGGCCAAGGCAGGUGGUAUACAUCAGAAUCGAGGCUGACAUCUCAGCAUUAACUUAUCCAAACAAGAGGCAGGCGGUAUGUUAUCCUGCUAGCGCCGAAAGGAGGACCAGCAGGAGGAGGAGAUAUAGAGGAGGAAGAGUGAAAUGGGGGAGUACGAGGGGCUGAAGCAGACAGGAACAAGGGGGAGUGUCCCUACAAUACAAUCAUCUUCCCAUCUCUCCCUCGGUCCCGGAGGGGAAACACACCAGUUAGCGCACGAGGUGAAACAUAACAUGAGACUUGCUGCCAUUUUGAAGUCCUUGAUCUUGAUCCUGCCUCUGAUCUUCAGAGUUUUAGCCUCGUUAUCACUGGUUUACAGCCCAGAGCGCAGAGGCUCAAAGCGUGGUCAGCCACGGCCUUAAAGAGCUGGCCUUCAUCCUCAGCUAAUACCCUUAUUGAAUCUGUUUAUUUACUGGAUACUCAUUGUUGUACUUAAACAGUGAAGUGAAUAUUUAUCUACUUGAGUGUCUGUCUCAUCUAGCCAUCAGCUUCUUCUUUUAAGUUUGUCCAAUGGCCAUGUUUUGCACAUAAUUUAUGCUGUGAUAAUCAAAUAGGAGUUGCAGUUCCUACCAUUGCUAACGUUUAUGUAAUUCUUCAUUUUUGUUUUCAUCGCUUUAACUGCAUUUCUUAUCUUGCCUUAUUUAUUGUAUGGGAGACAAAUGGGUUUAUUGGAACUAAUGACUAAAAUGAGUGUUUUAAAAUACAUUCUUGUGGUUUCCUAUUCCAUUUUUAGAUAGCGGAAAGCAGAGAGAUAACAGGAAACGUGGAGCGUGAAACAAAAGACGAGUCGUGGGAAGACACCAGCACAUUAACCCUUAAAUCACCAGAUGUCAGUCCAGGCUGUGUUUAAAACAUCUGUGGAGUGUGCUGCGUGAACAGAUUCAUGGACACCCCACCUCGCGACCUGCAGGUCUUAAAGGAUCUGGAUGUUGAAAGCACACUUUCAGAGGACUAGUGGAGUUCAAGCCAGGUCACAAGAGCUCAAGACUGUUUUGGUUUUCCUAACAAGGACUGACAUCAUCUCUCUGUGUGCUGCGCUCAUCACUGAUGAGAGCCAUGCCUCGGAUCUGUGGAGCAGGAGAGGGAACAGGAGAAUGUGCGUCGAACAUGUGUUUGGACUGGAGUCCGGUGAUUGAUGCUCUGGGAGAUUUACCUACACUACAAGGUCUAACUGCACUGAAGAGUGGGCUGCAGGACAUAGUAAAAAAAAACAAAAAAAAACACUGUUAAUUGUUAAAGAAAAGAAGAAGACAGAUUAAAUGAGGUCACUUUCCUGAAAACGUCCAGUUGUUGUUUCCAGAGAUAUAUUAAAAUUAUACAGAGUGCAAUGUUAAUUAGAUGAGCAUCUGAUAUUUGUUACGAUGAGCCCCACUGAGAGCGAAAAUUAAACUAAUAUUUAAUUCUUAAGGCUCUAAUUAGUCCCAGAUGUGUUUUAGCUAACUGCUAACCAAUCCAGUGCUAGCUAAUAUGCAGAUGUUUAGCAGGGUUGCAGAUAAAUUGUUUUAUAUCAUGGUCUGGGUGGAAAAUUGGUGUAACUGGCUCUAAUGUCUCUUUUGUUAUUGUGCCUCUCUUGCAUAGUUUUCACUGGAGACAGAUGGAAUCUAACAGGAGAGCAAGAGGAGAUAUCAUGCUGCUACGUGGUGAGGACUAUAGUUCAUGGGACACCCGCUCAGCCAGCAAACGAUAACUGUCAAAAGACUCUCGACGCAACAGCAGACGGAGAUGAUGACCCACAAAGUUAGAGACACACUGCCGAAGCAUCUUCAGGAGCUGGUGGAGAC